AAAAUUAAAAUACAUUUUUUCCUUUUUUCUAGCAAAUCGGCUCCACAAUUUCUUUUAAAUGUAUAUGACAAACUUUCUGCUGAGGCAAACAAUGCACACACUCGUCAUGUAAGAAGUACCGAAGAUAAAAUCAUUUUUACAGAAGCAGACGAUCGAGCUAUAGAUCAGAGUGACAUUAUCAUGACAUUUUUGAAUGAAAAUCAUCAUGUAUCGGAAGUGAGACACGAGAAAGGGCGACGAUUAUGGUUUGAUUUAUCGAAAGUGGAUGAAAACAUGCAAAUAAUUUUGGCUGAACUAAGACUCUACCAGCUCAAUCAGAAGAAUAAAUAUAAAAAGUCUAAUGAAAGUAUGUCAUUAGCUGUAUAUUCAAUCAUGAACAUUGAUGGAUGGUCUCGGAUUUGCCUU